CCUACGGGUGGCAGCCGUGAGGAAUAUUGGUCAAUGGGCGGAAGCCUGAACCAGCCAAGUCGCGUGAGGGAUUAAGGCCCUGCGGGUCGUAAACCUCUUUUGCCGGGGAGCAGAGGUCCGGACGUGUCCGGGCCGGGAGAGUACCCGGAGAAAAAGCAUCGGCUAACUCCGUGCCAGCAGACGCGGUACUACGGAGGAUGCGAGCGUUAUCCGGAUUUAUUGGGUUUAAAGGGUGCGGAGGCGGUCAUUUAAGCCGGCGGUCAAAUGUCGGGGCUCAACCACGGCCUGCCGUCGGAACUGGGUGCCUUGAGUGGGCGAGAAGUAUGCGGAAUGCGUGGUGUAGCGGUGACAUGCAUAGAUAGCACGCAGAACCCCGAUUGCGAAGGCAGCAUACCGGCGCCCUACGGACGCUGAGGCACGAAAGUGCGGGUAUCGAACAGGAUUAGAUACCCCAGUAGUC
rnacentral:rRNA from 1 species